GGUGGAGUUCUGAGGCAGUUCUGAAUUCUUAAGUUUGGAAUUUCAAUACAGAUUACAGAUUGUCUAUGGUUUCCCGGGUACACAUGGAAACGUGAUCUGAGGCUCUGGCAGGCUGAAUAAUCCUGGAGAGUGAUCUGCUUCAUCUGGCUGCAGGUUCAGGAAGGAAUCUACAUUUCACAAAGCUACAGAUAUAUUCCAGUGCCUUAUAUGGCUAAGAAGAAAAGCUCUAGACCAAAUUCUGGAAGAGGAUACGGAUGAUGGCCUUGAAAAGACUUCAUCUCUUCAGUAACUUCUUCAAUGUACAUGAUUCACUUCUACAGCAGAUUUUAUUUAUUUAUUUGUGAGAGAAAGAGUAAACGAGAGUAGGAGGAGGGCCAGAGAGAGAAGCAGAAUGUCCACUGAGCAGGGAGCCCAACACAGGGGUUGAUUCCAGGACCCUGGGAUCAGGACCUGAGCUGAAGGCAGACACUUAACAGACUGAGCUAACCAGGAACCUGGAAGUCCCAACUCUUAAAAACAUUCACCAUCAGGGUGAAAAGUGGGGGGUCCAGAAGACUGCGAUGGAAUCAAGACCCUUCUAAUGUACAAGCCAGCUUCUGAUGUUCCAAGAACACAUACCACCUACUAAAAGAAGCAGGGAUAUGGUGACUUUGGCUCUGCCAAGAAGAUGUCAGACUGCGACUGAGAUGCUGAAGCUAAGACUCUGACAUCAGAAAACAGGAAGCUUAUUUUCUCUCUUUCACCUUCUUGCUGCAAUCCCUCCAACAGACGUCAAGAUCAAGUUCCUAAUACAGAUAUGGCCUCCACACAAACUGCUAAGUUGAUGCUUGGUAGCAGUAUAGGUGGUUUCUUUUUCUAACCAAUUUUGUGGCACUGUUUCUGGAAUUUAAAUCUCAAGGUUUGUUCUCCAGCUCUUGCAACAAAAUGUGGGAAUUCACAAAUACUUGCUUAAUAAAUGCUUUUUUUUCUGCUAAUUAGUC